rnacentral:lncRNA from 1 species
AAAGAAUAGCAAGAGAUGAGAUGAGGAAAAACAGAUUGAACUGAUGCCGUGUGGGGCCUCGCACGCCAUUCUGAGGAGCUUCCCGAAGCCAUGGGGAAGCUUUUGGAGGGUUGUACGGCAGGAGGCAGCAGAAUCAUGAAGUGUUAAAGAGAGCUCUCUGUGGCAGUGAGGAAAGGCAAGACUCAAGAUAGUGUGAGCUUGACUUCAACAAUGACUCCAGAGAAAAAGAGGAAGCGAUAAUAAAUCACAAACAAUAACCACCAACAGAGAUUUCUUGACCCUGUCAUUGGGCCCCAUCCCAAGGGCCCUGUCAGAAAAUGCUAACUGAAGGUACUUAGAGAAGCUGCCCGCAUCCAGCUGUACCCUGGAGACAAAAGCCGUGGGGCCCUUGCAUGAGCCUCCAGUAUCUUCUUUGGCAAAAGCCACGCAGCUGCGCUGGUCAAGAGGGGAGCUGUGGAAGAGAGGAUGGGCAGACUACAGAGGAGAGCCCAGCAGAGGCGGCCAGGCCGGGAUCACAGCAGCAGUACUGUGGAGAGCCGAGGUGGAGUCCGGAGAGAGCCACUGAGGUCUCACCUCAGAAGAAGCCUCAAUUUGGGGAAGGACUGUUUAUAGUGGAGCCCGUUAAUGCAACCCAGAUGAUGCUGUUCACAUAUAACCAGAAACAGUGUCCUGCCUGGACGCAGUUUGGAGGCAGGGAGGCCGUCACACUCUGCCCUGGUGAGUCAGAGCCCCCCACUACCCCAUGGAUGUGCUUGCUGGGCCCUACUGCUGUGAUCUGUGCAAGGGAGGCAGCAGGACUAUUAGGGAAGGAAAGUGUGCAGGGCUUGUAG